rnacentral:misc_RNA from 1 species
GAUGAUAUUGAGAUAGAUGAAUCAAUUCUGCCCACGGUAACUACAUUGCAGGAAGUGAAAAAUAUAAACAGAGGUAAAUUUGAAUUUUCCAUAUUUAAUAUGUUCUUUUACUCGUUAAUUGUCUUUAACAAUAUUGUUAUUGUACUGCAUAGAAGAUACAGAAAGGGAACAAUUAUUAGGCAAGGCUGGUGAUAUGAAACCCGGACUAAGGAUACUUGAGGAAAUUAUAGCUCAAUAUAGAAAA